ACUCAUGUGCUCAACCAAACUCAGAGUUAAGGUGUUUUAGGCCGAUUUGCGGCUGUUUUAACAGUUCACUUGCUUGUGAAGGAUGAAGGAGGCUCCUUUGAGGACAGUAAUCUCCAAGUUCUGGACAAAAAGUUUAAAGGAAUCCAUCUUUGAACAGUAGAAGGUCGACAGCAGCAAAUGUCAGGACCACUGCUGGCUGUUAAGGUUCCCCUUCAACCACAAGAAGGGUGGGAGAAGUAUUAAAGUCCUUCACUUAGAAGUUAGAGAAGAUCGAUACCACUCUUGGUCCAUUUUCUUCUGCACAUCCAGGGUUUGCUGACCGAUGCAGAUUUUGAAAGUGGAUGUUCACACGACGCUCCUCAUUCACAUAUUUCCUGCUCCGUACGUCUGAUGUGAGCUUCAGGGCAGAGCUGAGGACUAGCCUUUUCAUUCAGAGCUCCAUCGCUCCAUCUUCUCCUGCUGAACCUUCACCUCCGCUGACGAUAUUAAGACUUGUGAAAGGCUCCCGGUGCAGGCGGCCAUCACUCCUUCCUUCUGUCACUUCUAAUCUCCCACUGGGCCUCCGGCUCCCCACUUUCCAUUUCCCCGGCUCUGUUGUGUUGCGUUGCGUUUGUCAAAGUGUCUCUCUGCUGCUGCUGUUUUCUACUGACCCAACACCUGCAGCCACAACAUUCACGGAGAUUAUUAGUCUUUUACAUCAUUUAAAGCAGGGAUGUCAAACUCACUUUAGUUCAAUGGCCACAUAUAACCCAGUUUGAUCACCAGUGACCAGUAAAAUCACAGCACAAUAACCUAUAAAUAACCACAAGAAUUAUCUUUUUACAAAACAUUAUGAGCAACCUGAAAUUACUUAAGAAAAAUAAAUUCAAUUUCAACAAUAUUAUGCCUCAGUUUAUCAUUUACACAUUAAAACCUACAGAUCACUGUGUCUACAAAGUAACAAAACUGAGCGAUAUAGUGUUUUACUUUAUGAUCAAAAUGACAAGUCAGACAAAGAAACAACACAAACAAGAGAAAACAUUACAAAAAUGAGACAAAAUGACAAAAAUUAGAAACAAAAUGACAAAAACGAGAUGCAAAACGACAAAUCAGACAAAAAAAGACAAAGAACAAAAACGAGCCAAAAUAUUCCAAAAAACAAGACGGAAAGCAACGAAAAAACAAAGAACAAUCUAGCAUUUUACUUAUGAUCAAAACAACUUGUCAUGGUCUAGAAAUUAUUUUAAAUUUAUAGUUUUACUAAUUUACAAUCUGCAGUAAAUCUGCUAUAAUUUUUACACUUUAAAAAGUCGGUCCGCGGCCGGAUUGGACCCUCUGGAGGGCCGGUUUUGGCCCGCUGGCCGCAUGUUUGACACCCCUGCUUUAUUCUAUACUUACACUAAAGACCACAGGAUUGUGUUUAUGCUUACAAAGCUACUUUUUCUAUCUCAUUUAUGUCACAUUUCCAACAUUAUCCUCAAUAAAUAGAGACAAAUAAACAGCUCUUCCCGGUGGUGGUGCAGCCGUGACCUCUGACCUUCCAUCGUAUCCGGAGAACAAACGACACGAUGACAAACGAUACAUUGGCCUGGAAGAAAAAAUCUGCUGUCGGAUUUAAAAGUGUAGAGAAUCUGGAGAAAGAAGCAACAUGAGAUUAAAGCCUGUAUUUCAUCCUCGGCCGUAUUUCUUUGCGUUAUUGAUGUCUGUCGGGUUGCAUAAAGUCAGAACAGGUCGACCUGCCGUAGGAAAAACAGCCUAAUCUGCUUCCACACAAUUACCUGUCUGCCCUCAUCCGAUUAAGGCUCAUAACGCACGUGGAAAUCCGUGAUAUUAGACGGAUUAGAGCAGGUAGAAUGGUCUAAUUACGCCGCGGGCUAAAGCGGGCCGAGCAGGAAUUAAAUAUUGAUAAAUCUAUCGUAAUGAAAUCGGAGAAUCCUAAUGAAAAACCGCAGUUAACAUCCAUCUCCCACGCAUCAGAAACGUUCCUUCUUUGGCUCGACGAGGCUUUAAUCAUCGUUGAAUUUUCAAUUAAAUGAGUUUUUCUAUAAGAGCAAGUAGCCUGAAGGCAUAGAUAUGAAAAACUACAACAGAAGACACAAACGGAUGCGUUAAAAUUCAGUUUUUAGUUUUGGUUUAGUAAUUUAAACUGUAGAUUUGUUGCUGUUUUUGAGAUAUUUAGCUUGUAUGCUAGUUUGUUGUUGGUUUGGUAGCUGACAUUACUGCAGUUAGAAGACAUAUUUUUUUAUUUACAUGUCUAUUUUGUGGUUUUUGUUUUCUAGUUUACAUCUUAGUUUUGUUUUUGUUUGGUGGCUUGCAUCAUAUUUUUGUUGUCAUAAAAGCCGUUUUUCUUUUAGACAUCUUUCUUUUUUUGCUAGCUCGCAGCAUAGUUUGUUUUCAUGUUUAGAAUGUUUAGACAUAUUUGUUUGUUGGUUUUGUUUUGUAACAAGAGAUUUUUAUAUGCUUAUCGUUUAUCAUUUCAUAGUUUAUUUAAAGCAAGAUGUUUGUGUUUACAUGUAUUUGUUGUUGUUUUUGUUUGAUAGCUUAUGUCAUGCUAUUUUUAGACUUUUUUUGUUUUUGCUGUUUUGGUAGUUGUUCGAAGAAAAUAUGUUUUUGUUUACAAAUAUUUGUUGUUAUUGUCUUGUAGCUUUUGUUUGGUAGCUCACAUCAAAGUUUUGGUUUUGGAAGAAAUGUUUUUGUUUACAUGUGCGUUUUUUCUUCUUCUCAUGUCAUAGUUUCAGAACAAGUUCUAUUUAUGUAUGUUGUUGUUUUUGUUUGCUAGCUGACGUCAUAGUUUGUUAGAAUAAAAUAUUUAUAUUAGUUUUUCUGCUUGCAUCACAGUUUUAUUAUAGCAUGAGAUUGUUUUGAUUAGACAUGUUUGUUGUUUUUGUUUGGUAGCUUCCGUCAUAGUUACGUUAGAGUAAAAUAUAUGCUUGUUUUGUUUUUGUCAGUUGGCUUACAUCAAAAUGUUGGUGUUAAAACAAAUAUUUUUGUUUACAAAGGUUUGUUGUUUUGUUUUAGCUUACAUCAAAAUUUUGGUAUUAAAACAAAUAUUUUUGUUUACGAAGGUUUGUUGUUUUGUUUGGUAGCUUACAUCAAAAUUUUGUUAUAACAUGAGAGUUUUGGUUUGAUAUUGUUGUUGAUUAUGUUUGGUGUAACACAUCAUAGUUGUGUUAGAAAACAAUAUAUUUUUGUUUCCAUAAAUAUGUUAUUUGUUGAUUUACAUCAUAGUUUUGUUUACACCUGUUUUUGUUUGGUAGCUUGCAUCAUAGUUACGUUUGAGUAAAAUAUCUGUUUGUUUUUGUUUGUUGGCUUUCAUCAAAUUUUCAGUAUUUAAAGAAAUAUUUUUGUUUACAUGAGUUUGUUGUUUUGUUUAGUAGCUUGCAUCAAAGUUUUGUUAGAAUAGACUGUUUAUUUACAUAUGUUUGUUGUUUUUGUGUGUUGGCUUACAUCAAAGUUUUGGUAUUUAAAAAAAAUAUUUUUGUUUGCAAAAGUUUGCUGUUUUGUUUGGUAGCUUACAUCAAAGUUUUAUUGUGACAUGAGAGAGUUUUGGUUUGAUGUUGUUGUUUAUGUUUGAUGUCAGACAUCAUAGUUUUGUUUACACCUAUUGUUUUCAUUUGGUUGCUUGCAUCAUAGUUACAUUGGAGUAAAAUAUAUGUUUGUUUUGUUUGUUGGCUUACGUCAAAGUUUUGGUGUCAAAACAAAUAUUUUGUUCACAUGUGUGCCGUUUGUUUCUUAUCACAUCAUAGUUCUACAACAAGUGAUAUUUAUGUAUGUUGUUGUUUUGUUUGCUAGUUUACAUCAUAGCUUGCUAGAAGAAUUUUUUUUUACCUGUGUUGUUUUUGUUUCUUAGCUUAUGUCACACUUUGUUGAAACAAAAUAUUAUUUUGUUAACAUAUAUGCAUUGCAUUUGUUUGUUGGCUUACAUUAGAGUUGUGGUAUUAAAAUAAAUAUUUUUGUUUACAUAGGAUUGUUGUUGGGUUUGGUAGCUUACAUCAAAGUUUUGUUAUAACGAGAGAGUUUUGGUUUGAUGUUGUUAUUGUUGUUUAUGUUCGGUGUUAUACAUCAUAGUUUGUUAGUACACAAUAUAUUUUUGUUUACAUAUGUACGUUGUCUUGUUUGUUGAUUUACAUCAUAGUUUUGUUUACAUCUGUUUUUGUUUGGUAGCUUCCGUCAUAGUUAUGUUAGAGUAAAACAUAUGUUUGUUUUGUUUUUGCUUGUUGGCUUACAUCAAAGUUUUUGUGUUAAAACAAAUAUUUUUGUUUACUGAAGUUUGCUGUUUUAUUUGGUAGCUUACAUCAAAGUUUUGUUAGAAUAAACUAUGUUUGUUUACAUACAUUUGCUUUGUUUUUGUUUGUUGGCUUACAUCAGAGUUUUGCUAUGAAAGCAAAUGUUUUUGUUUACAAACGUUUGUUGUUGUUGGUUUGGUAGCUGACAUUACUGUAGUUAGAAGACAUUUUUUAUUUACAUGUCUAUUUUGUGGUUUUUGUUUUCUAGUUUACAUCUUAGUUUUGUUUUUGUUUGGUGGCUUGCAUCAUAUUUUUGUUGUCAUAAAAGCCGUUUUUCUUUUAGACAUCUUUCUUUUUUUGCUAGCUCGCAGCAUAGUUUGUUUUCAUGUUUAGAAUGUUUAGACAUCUUUGUUUGUUGGUUUUGUUUUGUAACAAGAGAUUUUUAUAUGCUUAUUGUUUAUCAUUUCAUAGUUUAUUUAAAGCAAGAUGUUUGUGUUUACAGGUAUUUGUUGUUGUUUUUGUUUGAUAGCUUAUGUCAUGCUAUUUUUAGACUUUUUUUGUUUUUGCUGUUUUGGUAGUUGUUUGAAGAAAAUAUGUUUUUGUUUACAAAUAUUUGUUGUUAUUGUCUUGUAGCUUUUGUUUGGUAGCUCACAUCAAAGUUUUGGUUUUGGAAGAAAUGUUUUUGUUUACAUGUGCGUUUUUUCUUCUUCUCAUGUCAUAGUUUCAGAACAAGUUCUAUUUAUGUAUGUUAUUGUUUUUGUUUGCUAGCUGACGUCAUAGUUUGUUAGAAUAAAAUAUUUAUAUUAGUUUUUCUGCUUGCAUCACAGUUUUAUUAUAGCAUGAGAUUGUUUUGAUUAGACAUGUUUGUUGUUUUUGUUCGGUAACUUCCGUCAUAGUUACGUUAGAGUAAAAUAUAUGCUUGUUUUGUUUUUGUCAGUUGGCUUACAUCAAAAUGUUGGUGUUAAAACAAAUAUUUUUGUUUACAAAGGUUUGUUGUUUUGUUUAUUUACAUCACAGUUUUGUUUACACCUGUUUUUGUUUGGUAGCUUGCAUCAUAGUUACGUUUGAGUAAAAUAUAUGUUUGUUUUUGUUUGUUGGCUUACAUCAAAGUUUUGUUAUAACAUGAGAGAGUUUUGGUUUGAUGUUGUUGUUGUUUAUGUUCGGUGUCAUGCAUCACAUUUUUGUUAGUACACAAUAUAUUUUUGUUUCCAUAUGUAUGUUGUUUGUUGAUUAACAUCAUAGUUUGUUUACACUUGUUUUGGUUUGGUAGCUUCCGUCGUAGUUACAUAUCAAUGAAAUAUAUGUUUGUUUUGUUUUUGUUUUGUAGCUUACAUCAAAGUUUUGGUAUGAGAAGAAAUAUUUUUUGUUUACAAAAGUUUGUUUUUGUUUUGUCGCUGACAUCAAAGUUUUGGUAUGAGAAGAAAUAUUUUUUGUUUACAAAAGUUUGUUUUUGUUUUGUAGCUGACAUCAAAGUUUUGGUAUGAGAAGAAAUAUUUUUUGUUUACAAAAGUUUGUUUUUGUUUUGUAGCUGACAUCAAAGUUUUGGUAUGAGAAGAAAUAUUUUUUGUUUACAAAAGUUUGUUUUUGUUUUGUAGCUGACAUCAAAGUUUUGGUGUUAAAAGAAAUAUUUUUGUUUCCAUAGGUUUGUUGUUUUGUUUGGUAGCUUACCUCAUGGUUAUGUUAGAAUAAAGUAUAUGUUGAUUUUGAUUUUUUGUUUGUUGGAUUAUGUCAAAGUUUUUGUAUUAAAAGAAAUAAUUUCAUUUACAUAAGUUUGUUGUUUUGUUUGGUGGCUUACAUCAAAGUUUUGUUAGAAUAAACUAUGCUUGUUUACAUACAUUUGCUUUGUUUUUGUUUGUUGGCUUACAUCAGAGUUUUGCUAUUAAAGCAAAUGUGUUCGUUUACAAACGUUUGUUGUUGUUGGUUUGGUAGCUUACAUCAAAGUUUUGCUAUAACAUGAGAGAGUUUUGGUUUGAUGUUGUUGUUUAUGUUCGAUGUCAUACAUCACAGUUUGUUAGUACACAAUAUAUUUUUGUUUACAUAUGUCUUGUUUGUUGAUUAACAUCUCAGUUUUGUUUACACUUGUUUUUGUUUGCUAACUUGCAUCACAGUUAUGUUAGAAUAAAAUGUUUGCUUCUUCGUUGGCUUACAUCAAAGUUUUAGUAUUAAAAUGAAUAUUUUUGUUUAUAAACGUUUGUUGUUGGGUUUGGUAGUUUACAUCAAAGUUUUGUUGGAACAAACUGUGUUUGCAUAUGUCUGUUGUUUUGUUUUUGUGUGUUGGUUUACAUCACAUUUUUGGUAUUAAAAGAAAUAUUUUUGUUUACAUAAGUUGGUUGUUUUUUUGGUAGCCUACAUAGAAAUGUUGUUAGUUCAUUUUAUAUUUUUGUUCACAUAUUUACAUUGUCUUGUUUGUUGAUUUACAUCAUGAUUU